CGGGGGCAGGGCCUGGGCGCCUCGCCAGACGCCAGGGCCUACCCCGACGGUUUCAGCGCCAGCUUCUGCGUGAGGUUUGGCUGUUCACAGCCCGUACUCCAGCUCAUCUUCUGGGAACAACCCGAGGAGGCAAGCCAGACGGUUGUUUUACUCUGAUGCCUUUGCAAAAUUGCUUUAUCUUCAAAGAGGCUCUUGGAAAGGAACCUACCAAGUUCUUUUGAACACUAAUACUGCUGCCAAAUUUUAAGGUGUUAAAUCUUGGGUGCAUAUUUCCUACCUAAAGAAGAGUACACUUGCCAUUUGGUCUCAUGCUAAUGUUGGAGAUCUCAAAAUCAGAUUGCUCAGGAAGAGAAGCAGCUGGCACCACCAGUUCCUAGGUGCUGACAUCAGACCUCUACCCUUCAGUCAGGAGAAGAAACCAGACCAACCAAAAGCAAAGAAGAGCUUAAAACAAUGGUCUCAGGGGUUCUCCAACUCACAGCCUACCCAGAUACCCAACAGUAAAAGAGCCUCCAAGUUGACAAGCCCCGUCCACCUGUGCAGAGCUUCCAGUCAGCAGCAUCAUCCCUACUCUUAUUCAUGAAUACUAAGGAUUUCUGGGAAUGUGAGGAAAGCUUUUAAUGUGAGCAAAGAGAUCUAAAUAAACAGAUUAGAGCAACUUAGAAAAAUAGUGGAUUCUGUGGCUUUUCCAAAAACUUAAUUUUCUGAGAGAUAACAUUCCACUCAAAACAAAAAAAAAAUAUUACUAAAAAGGAACAAUAAGAAAACAAAACAAAGCUCUCAGAAAUUAAAAGAAUAGUAAUAGGGUUAGAAAAUCAAUAGGACUGGAAGAUAUAGUUGAAGAAACCCCCCUUAUCCCAAAGUGGAACAAAAUAACAUAUGGGAAAAUAGGAGAGAAAAGAUUAAACAAAGCAGGUCAUUAGAGGAGGUCCAUCAUCUGAAUAGUAGGAGUUCCAGAAAAUGAGAGCAGGAAAAGAACAGUGGGGAAGCAAUUUGCAAUGAAGUAAUUACAUUUUCAGAACUGAAUAACAUUAAGAUUUUGAUCAGAAGGGUUCAGAGUGCCAAGCAGAUAGAAUGAAAACAGAGCAUCACCAUGGAUCACUGGGGGAAAACUACACUUCUAAGACCUUCAAGAAAGAAAAAAGUCUGGUCACAUAAAUAUGGCUAGAAGACCACAGAGCAAUGCCUCUAAAUUCCAAAUGAAAAUGAUACCAGACUGCAUGCUGUUAACUGUCAAUAAUGGGAGAAGGGUAAAGGCACUUUCAGACAUUUAAAAUCUUAAACAUUUUACCUCUCACACACAUUUAGAGAACCUACUCAGGGAGGAUGCCACCAAAAAGAGGGAACAAAUGAAACAAGGGAACAUGCAGGACAAAACCAGGAAACCCAAUAUAAGAGGUAAAGGGAGUCACUAGGAUGGUGACAUGCAGCAAGUGGAAGGAAACUCAUCAUAGUGUAGCGGGGCAAGGGCUCCAUGACUAUGCUGACCUUCUCCGCAAAGUGAAUGAUAGGCACAGGGAAAGUCAAUGGAACCAUCACUUUUAUUGCUGAAUGUUAAUGAUAGUGGAUGGCAGAGACUAUCAUGGUAUACGUUCCUAACAUGAAUGAUUUAAACAGAAGCUUUAGACUCUUUUCUUCAAAAUCUUAUUUAUUUAUUGAUGAGAGACACAGAGAGAGAGGCAGAGACACAGGCAGAGGGAGAAGCAGGUUCCUCUCAGGGAGCCUGAUGACCUGCCUGAUGACCUCCAUCCUGGGACCCUGGGAUCAUGCCCCGGGCUGAAGGCAGACGUUCAUCCGCUGAGCCACCCCGGCAUCCCUAGGACUCUCUUUUUCAAUCAAUAUCUUAGCAAGAGCAUUUUCCCCCCUAAAACUGAAAAGCAGAAAUAAACUUGCCUAAAUUGAGGAAUUCUGUAUAGUCAUACAUAACUAUAUAUGCAGAUACACAGGAAAUUGCUCACAGCAGUGGCCUAUAGGAGUGAUGGACCUCUUGGAAAGAGAUGCGACUUUGCCAUUCACCUUUUCAUUUUUUUGACUUAUGUGCCACAAAUAGUUAAUUGUUCAAUUAUAUUCUCUAAUUUAAAGAUGGACUGAAAAAAAACUGAUCAUGUACAGCAAGUAGUUUUAUAAAACUUGCCUCAGGUUUAAUUAAGUAUAUAAAACUGUAUUUAAUAUAUA